rnacentral:misc_RNA from 1 species
CGGUGUUCUCUUGUCUCUCUAACCCUCUCGAGCACCCCCUGGCAGUGAAACGCGUUGGUGCUGCCGCAGCUCGAUCACGCACAUGCACGUCGGCGGCGCUUCAUCUCUGUUUUUGCCUCUGGAACGAAUGCCCAUAUGCCGUAUCGGCUCUCUUUCUGACUUCAGAUUUCUGUUCCCUCCCUCCCCGUGAUGACGGCGAAGGCACAGGCAUACACACACACACACACAGAGAGAGAGACCGCUCUCCGCGCGUGGCGUCUGAGGGUCCCGCACCCAGCUCUCCGUGUGGAAGGCGGCCGAGCAGCCCCCCUCCCCCUGCUGUAUCCCUGCCAAAUGCCGAACCGCCUGCGGUGCGGACAUGGCCAAGUGCCGACGACGUGUGGGAGGUCUGGGCGCCGUGUGGGAGCGACGUGUGAGGCGGGUGGUGAGUGGGUGGAGCUUGCGGCAGGGGGUCGUGCUCUCCGAUGCCUGAGCCGGCGCAUUGCUGGAAGGCGUGCGUCCGGGGCUGCGUCGCACGACGCGAUGGGUGGCCUGUGGCAGGGCCGGUGGGGUGCGGAGUUGAGUCUCACCUCCUGGUGAAUGGCAGAGGCAGUGGCCACACGCUGAGCAGAGAAUGCAUCUCUCUGUCUCGGCCUGGUGCGCUGCCAGCGCCCGUUCGCAUUGAUUCUUGCUCGCUGGUUUGCCGUGUCUUUGCCACUUUUAUGCAGGUGCACGCCGCCACCUGAUGAAUCCUCUGGCAAUCUCUUCCUCGGCUGCCACGUCUGCUGAACCGCUGCCGCUGUUACUCGCACCCCACCUUUCUUUCUUUGCGCCUCCCCCUUCUAUCGCUAUACUCGCCCCGCAUUGCCCUCCGGCCCUGUCGGAGCCUCGUCGCGUGUGGGCAG